rnacentral:rRNA from 1 species
UGCUGACGCGGAGGGACUUACCGAGUUUACAACUCCCAAACCCAAUGUGAACGUUACCAAACUGUUGCCUCGGCGGGAUCUCUGCCCCGGGUGCGUCGCAGCCCCGGACCAAGGCGCCCGCCGGAGGACCAACCAAAACUCUUAUUGUAUACCCCCUCGCGGGUUUUUUUUAUAAUCUGAGCCUUCUCGGCGCCUCUCGUAGGCGUUUCGAAAAUGAAUCAAAACUUUCAACAACGGAUCUCUUGGUUCUGGCAUCGAUGAAGAACGCAGCGAAAUGCGAUAAGUAAUGUGAAUUGCAGAAUUCAGUGAAUCAUCGAAUCUUUGAACGCACAUUGCGCCCGCCAGUAUUCUGGCGGGCAUGCCUGUCCGAGCGUCAUUUCAACCCUCGAACCCCUCCGGGGGGUCGGCGUUGGGGAUCGGCCCUGCCUUGGCGGUGGCCGUCUCCGAAAUACAGUGGCGGUCUCGCCGCAGCCUCUCCUGCGCAGUAGUUUGCACACUCGCAUCGGGAGCGCGGCGCGUCCACAGCCGUUAAACACCCAACUUCUGAAAUGUUGACCUCGGAUCAGGUAGGAAUACCCGCUGAACUUAAGCAUAUCAUAAAGCCGGAAGGAA